AGAGUUUGAUCCUGGCUCAGAUUGAACGCUGGCGGCAUGCUUUACACAUGCAAGUCGAACGGUAACAGGUCUUCGGAUGCUGACGAGUGGCGAACGGGUGAGUAAUGCAUCGGAACGUGCCCAGUCGUGGGGGAUAACGCAGCGAAAGCUGUGCUAAUACCGCAUACGAUCUAUGGAUGAAAGCGGGGGAUCGCAAGACCUCGCGCGAUUGGAGCGGCCGAUGUCAGAUUAGCUAGUUGGUGGGGUAAAGGCCCACCAAGGCGACGAUCUGUAGCUGGUCUGAGAGGACGACCAGCCACACUGGGACUGAGACACGGCCCAGACUCCUACGGGAGGCAGCAGUGGGGAAUUUUGGACAAUGGGCGCAAGCCUGAUCCAGCAAUGCCGCGUGCAGGAAGAA
rnacentral:rRNA from 1 species